GACGAACGCUGGCGGCGUGCCUAAUACAUGCAAGUAGAACGCACAGUUUAUACUGUAGCUUGCUGCACCAUAGACUGUGAGUUGCGAACGGGUGAGUAACGCGUAGGUAACCUGUCUGGUAGCUGGGGAUAACUAUGGGAAAUGAUAGCUAGUACCGCAUAAUAUUAAUUAUUGCAUGGAAAUUAAUUGAAAGUUGCAAUGGAAUCACUACCUGUCGGACUUGCGUUGUAUUAGCUAGUAGGUGAGGCAAAGCCUGAGAUAGGAGAGGAUACAGAGCCCCACGGAGAGGAGGAUCGGCCACACUGGGACGGUGACACGGCCCAUACGGAUAGGGGAGCGAGCAGGAGUGAAUCUUCGGGAAGGGGUGAAAGUCUGACCGAGCAACGCCGCGGGAGUGAGGAAGGUCGUCGGGUCGUAAAGCUCGGUUGUAAGAGAAGAAAGGGCGUGAGAGUGGAAAGUACACACUGUGACGGUAUCUUAUAAGAAAGCGACGGCUAACUACGUG
rnacentral:rRNA from 1 species